rnacentral:rRNA from 1 species
UACGUAGGGGGCGAGCGUUGUCCGAAGUUACUGGGCGUAAAGCGCGCGUAGGCGGGGGGUUAAGUGAGAGGUGAAAGGCUGGGGCUCAACCUCAUGCAGUGCCUCUCAUACUGGCCUUCUUGAGGGCGGUAGGGAGAAGUGGAAUGGCUGGUGUAGCGGUGAAAUGCGUAGAUAUCAGUCGGAACACCGGUGGCGAAGGCGGCUCUCUGGGGUAUUUCUGACGCUGAGGCACGAAAGCCAGGGGAGCGAACGGG